GUUUGAUCCUGGCUCAGAGCGAACGCUGGCGGCAGGCCUAACACAUGCAAGUCGAACGGAUCCUUCGGGAUUAGUGGCGGACGGGUGAGUAACACGUGGGAACGUGCCUUUUGGUUCGGAACAACUCAGGGAAACUUGAGCUAAUACCGGAUAAGCCCUUCGGGGGAAAGAUUUAUCGCCAUUAGAGCGGCCCGCGUAGGAUUAGCUAGUUGGUGGGGUAAAGGCCCACCAAGGCUACGAUCCUUAGCUGGUCUGAGAGGAUGAUCAGCCACAUUGGGACUGAGACACGGCCCAAACUCCUACGGGAGGCAGCAGUGGGGAAUCUUGCGCAAUGGGCGAAAGCCUGACGCAGCCAUGCCGCGUGAAUGAUGAAGGUCUUAGGAUUGUAAAAUUCUUUCACCGGGGACGAUAAUGACGGUACCCGGAGAAGAAGCCCCGGCUAACUUCGUGCCAGCAGCCGCGGUAAUACGAAGGGGGCUAGCGUUGCUCGGAAUUACUGGGCGUAAAGGGAGCGUAGGCGGAUAGUUUAGUCAGAGGUGAAAGCCCAGGGCUCAACCUUGGAAUUGCCUUUGAUACUGGCUAUCUUGAGUACGGAAGAGGUAUGUGGAACUCCGAGUGUAGAGGUGAAAUUCGUAGAUAUUCGGAAGAACACCAGUGGCGAAGGCGACAUACUGGUCCGUUACUGACGCUGAGGCUCGAAAGCGUGGGGAGCAAACAGGAUUAGAUACCCUGGUAGUCCACGCUGUAAACGAUGAGUGCUAGUUGUCGGCAUGCAUGCAUGUCGGUGACGCAGCUAACGCAUUAAGCACUCCGCCUGGGGAGUACGGUCGCAAGAUUAAAACUCAAAGGAAUUGACG
rnacentral:rRNA from 1 species